UUACUUUACAGGCCCUGUGUAGCUUUGGAGCCUAUCCUGGCACUCGCUCUGGCUGGCCUCGAACUCACAGAGAUCUGCCUGCCUCUGCCUCCUGAGUGCUGGGAUUAAAGGUGUGCACCACCAAUGCCCAGCACACAGUUUUAAGUAAACUGAUUUGGAAGUUUGAAGCACUCCAGGACUUGCUUUCCUACCUACACAGAAGUUAUGGAUACAAUGAUGUCAGCUUGGACUGUGGUGACAGUUUUCAGAAAGGAGUGACUCAAACCCACAGAAAUGAGCUGACCACACCUGCUAUCCCAGGAGGCAGGGGGUGGGGUGGGGGAAGAAGAUUGGACAGAGAGAGAGUUCUAGACCCCUGUCUCAACACAACAAAUAGAACUGACCGUGACUGGAGGCCAGAGCCCAAGGUAACGGAGUCACAGAGCUGUUUCUCUGCAGGCUCUGAAGAAUGUCGGCCCUCUCCAUCCUGCCUCUGAUGUCAUCUCUUGACUCGUAGGGUUUCUCUGUAUUGCUUUGGAGCCUAUCCUGGAACUUGCUCCGUCGUCUAGGCUGGCCUCGAACUCACAGAGAUCCACCUGCCUCUGCCUCGAGUGUUGGGAUUAAAGGCAUGAGCCACCACCACUUGGGCAAUUUUGCCUUUAUUUUUUAUUUUCUUUAUUCUGUAAAGUUUUCCUGUGUCUUGAUUUGACAAGUGAGAGGCUGACUAAUCCAAGGCAGCUCCUGGGAAGAAACAGAGCAAGGGUGAACACACAGACUUUGAGCUCUCACAGGGACCCACAGGAACCUGUAGGGUGAAACCCACAUUUUAUAGCCACUAAUGUCAGCCUCUAGCCACACCUGAGGAAGAGAACAGGAGAGGAUGUACUGAAAGGAAAACCACAGUGUCUGCAGAACUGGUUCCCCUUCUCACAAGUUAACAAAGGUGAAACAAGGUCGCUGACACCAUCCCAGGGGGACAGAAUGUGGCCCAGCCACCAAGGACACUUAUCUGAAGGCUCUAGACUUCAGCACUCUUCACAACCCUGAGGCUGGAUGAAGCACGUAGGUGGAUAAAAACAACAACAACAACAACAACAACAACAAAACAUUAAAAAGAAGGCCUCAGACCAACAGGAGGUCCAACCCUCUCACACAGUGACGCCUCCUACUGGACACAGUGGCACCUGCUGGACUCAUCAGGCUUUGAGUCAGAACAGUUGCUUUUCACCCCUACCUUCAGCAAGGCUUCCUUAGCCUUUUUGCGGCUACUCUGUAACAUAAAUAAAUCAUUCUCCGAGGUAUAAUGUUCAAAGUGAGUCUUAAUGAUAAUAAGUUUGGAACAAAAGAACCUAUGAUGGCCAAGGCCACACCUAUCAAAAUCAGUAGUAACUAGUGGAUUACAGGCAACAAAGAAACUGCCUAGCUGGUGCAUCCGUUAUUUAGUAAAUUCUGCCCUUGUCUCUGGGUAUACACUUAGGACACCAGGCUCUGCUGAGGUUCCAGACAGGCAUGGUCCAGGCUUCGGGGGAAGGAGGC
rnacentral:lncRNA from 1 species